GUCCAUAUGAAGCCCAGUCCCUAGAAUGCUCAGUCCCUAGAAUGCCCAGUCCGUAUAAUGCCCAGUCCAUAUGAAGCCCAGUCCCUAUAAUGCUCAGUCCAUAUAAUGCCCAGUCUGUAUAAUGCCCAGUCCAUAUGAAACCCAGUCCCUUAUAAUGUCCAGUCCCUUAUAAUGUCCAGUCCCUUAAAUGUCCAGUCCCUAAAAUGCCCAGUCCAUAUAAUGCUCAGUCCAUAUAAUGCUCAGUCCAUAUGAAGCCCAAUCCCUAUAAUGCUCAGUCCCUAUAAUGCCCAGUCCAUAUAAUGCCCAGUCCCUAUAAUGCCCAGUCCCUAUAAUGCCCAGUCCAUAUAAUGCUCAGUCCAUAUAAAGCCCAGUCCAUAUAAUGCUCAGUCCGUAUAAAGCCCAGUCCCUAUAAUGCCCAGUCCAUAUAAUGC